UACGUAGGGUGCAGGCGUUAAUCGGAAUUACUGGGCGUAAAGCGUGCGCAGGCGGCUUCUUAAGUCAGAUGUGAAAGCCCCGGGCUUAACCUGGGAACUGCGUUUGAAACUGGGAGACUUGAGUGUGGCAGAGGGGGGUGGAAUUCCACGUGUAGCAGUGAAAUGCGUAGAUAUGUGGAGGAAUACCGAUGGCGAAGGCAGCCCCCUGGGAUAACACUGACGCUCAUGCACGAAAGCGUGGGGAGCAAACAGG
rnacentral:rRNA from 1 species